AGAUGGCGACCGGCGCACGAGUGAGUAACACGUAUCCAACCUGCCGAUAACUCGGGGAUAGCCUUUCGAAAGAAAGAUUAAUACCCGAUGGUAUAAUCAGACCGCAUGGUUUGAUUAUUAAAGAAUUUCGGUUAUCGAUGGGGAUGCGUUCCAUUAGGCAGUUGGUGAGGUAACGGCUCACCAAACCUUCGAUGGGUAGGGGUUCUGAGAGGAAGGUCCCCCACAUUGGAACUGAGACACGGUCCAA
rnacentral:rRNA from 1 species